rnacentral:tRNA from 1 species
AAUCAAGAAAUGAAAAUUCAUAUAUGGUUUCGACCCAUAAUUAGGUAUAUUUAUACCCUUGUUUC